GGGUGUUGGUUGUGAUGGGACCCUGAGCUCAGGUGGGGUGUUGGUUGGGUUGGUUGUGAUGGGACCCUGAGCUCAGGUGGGGUGUUGGUUGGGUUGUUUGUGAUGGGACUCUGAGCUCAGAUGGGGUGUUGGUUAGGUUGGUUGUGAUGGGACCCUGAGCUCAGGUGGGGUGUUGGUUGGGUUGGUUGUGAUGGGACCCUGAACUCAGGUGGGGUGUUGGUUGGGUUGGUUGUGAUGGGACUCUGAGCUCAGGUGGGGUGUUGGUUGUGAUGGGACCCUGAGCUCAGGUGGGGUGUUGGUUAGGUUGGUUGUGAUGGGACUCUGAGCUCAGGUGGGGUGUUGGUUAGGUUGGUUG
rnacentral:lncRNA from 1 species